rnacentral:lncRNA from 1 species
CAUCUGUGGGCUCGACGGUUGUAUGGGGUAAGUUUUUAUGAGUAUUUAAAGGAAUGAUUUGCAUUUGCACACAAAACAGGAUAAUAUAAUCUUACAACUAAGAUGUCAUCGUUAAUUUGUAAAAAAAACCGACAGUACAUAGUAAAAUAAAUAUUUCAACAAGGUUUUUUUUUAGAGAAGAACGGACAGAGUCGAGCGGUCACUAAACCUGCUUUCCUCUUGAGCGACACAGAAAAGAAAUGAUUACAUGCUUCUGAGUUGUUUGUUUUUGUCAAUUUUAUAGAAAUCCUGCAUGUGUAUCAUCUGAGUAUGGCCAUUUUUUUUUCAAGAUGUAGAUGAUUAUUCUCUCCCAUGAAGUUGGUGGGUCUGGUUGUCUUGUAACAUGCCAUGAUCUGAGACCGGAACAAUUUUCUUGAAAUUGUGCUCUUGUGUACACUUAUCAAACGGUGUCCAUUUCAAAACAAAGUUUAGCCUCAAAAGUAUUCCUUUGAUUAAAAUGGGUAAAAGGUGCAAAGGUUUAACAACAAGUCAGAAUUUUUUUUACACACUAUUUAAGUCGGCUAGGAAGCAGUUGCGGAUACAAAAAUGUAAUCGUGAUUUGGAGGACGUUGAUACAAAUGUUGUUACACUGCUUUAGUAUGUCGUCGAAAAGACCUAUUGAUAAUACGAAAACAAUCUUUUGAUUUACUUUACAUAUAUUUUUUGUUUAAUUUUGAGACAACCCCAUGGUUUUUGUCAACGGUAAUCAUAAGUCUAAAUGUUUAAUCCUGACAUAACUAGAAUAUGAAAACAAAAUAAAGUGAAAGCUGGGUAUGCCUAACAUCUUAUGUAUUAGUAAAUGAUUGAAAACUGAGAUCGCAGAGUUAUUGUGAACGGGUAUAUAUAUAACAGACGUACACUAUUUAGUUUAUACAAAGCAGAUAACGCAAACACGUACAAUGUGCAUGUUAUAAUGAGAUAUUGAUACGCACAGUCUUGGCAUGUAUUCAUGUCGGCAUUGUUUUAUGCAUGUCCCUCUAGUGCAAACACCAAUGUAUCUUUCGCCCGUCCUUAUGUAUGUGUUUUAUUGUAUUCCAUUGGAUAUGUACUGAAUAAUUCAAGUAUAAGACAUAGUUCAUGUCUUAUUCUUAAUUGACUAAAAACUAGCGUGCUAAAAGAGUUUAUCACUCUUAAUGCGGUUUUGCUGUUCAUUAGUGUAUACGUUUUCAAAAUAAAACUCAAAUUACGUAAGGACAGAAGUUGUAAAGUAUGUACGGCCUGUUUGUUUAAUAUCAUACAAUUGCAGGAAAACAUAGUUACAUAGUAUAAAUGAUGCUGUCAUUUCUAAUAAAAAAAGUGUCAGGCUUUCGUUUUGAAUGUUUUGAAAUGUUAUUGACAAACGCCUUUAUUUUAGGGUUAAGAAAAAAGUAGAUAGGUGAAUUACAUUUGCGUUUGCUGACAUGUGUAGGUUAUUCAAAUUACUUUUAUCUGCAAAUUAUGAAGGCUAUCUACCACCUGAAGCUAGCAUACAUAAAGGCAAUAGUACAAUUUUCAUAUUUUUGUUAAUAAUAUGUUGAAACAGAUUUCAUAUGCAAAAAAAAGAUUAAUUUAAUAUUUUGUAAAAGUUAAGAAAGUGCAUGUUAUGCAAGUAGCAUACGUAAUUCAUUCAAUCAAAACAAACAUCUCUAUUUAUUACAGGGAGAUGAACUAUAUCAAAGACGUAUAAAAGAGUAAACCAUCUCUCUUCAAUAUGUAAAAAAACAGUUGAACAAUGACCUGGUAACUAAAAACUAAAUAAAGGAAUUGAAAGUCCAAUGAGAAUUAAUAAACAUGUAAUUGUAUGUAUAAUAUUAUAGUGAAUUUCACUAGUUCAAUUGAUUAUACCGUUUGAUUUUGUCAGUUUGUAUGUUUG